rnacentral:rRNA from 1 species
UGCCUUGGCACUAAGAGCCGAUGAAGGACGA